GUGGGGAAUAUUGGACAAUGGGGGGAACCCUGAUCCAGCCAUGCCGCGUGUGUGAAGAAGGCCUUUUGGUUGUAAAGCACUUUAAGCGAGGAGGAGGCUACCGAGAUUAAUACUCUUGGAUAGUGGACGUUACUCGCAGAAUAAGCACCGGCUAACUCUGUGCCAGCAGCCGCGGUAAUACAGAGGGUGCAAGCGUUAAUCGGAUUUACUGGGCGUAAAGCGCGCGUAGGUGGCCAAUUAAGUCAAAUGUGAAAUCCCCGAGCUUAACUUGGGAAUUGCAUUCGAUACUGGUUGGCUAGAGUAUGGGAGAGGAUGGUAGAAUUCCAGGUGUAGCGGUGAAAUGCGUAGAGAUCUGGAGGAAUACCGAUGGCGAAGGCAGCCAUCUGGCCUAAUACUGACACUGAGGUGCGAAAGCAUGGGGAGCAAACAGGAUUAGAAACCCUGGUAGUCA
rnacentral:rRNA from 1 species